UACGGAGGGUGCGAGCGUUGUCCGGAUUUAUUGGGCGUAAAGAGCGUGUAGGCGGCCGUACAGGUCAGCUGUGAAAACUCGAGGCUCAACCUCGAGACGUCGGUUGAAACCGUACGGCUAGAGUCCGGAAGAGGAGAGUGGAAUUCCCGGUGUAGCGGUGAAAUGCGCAGAUAUCGGGAAGAACACCCGUGGCGAAGGCGGCUCUCUGGGACGGUACUGACGCUGAGACGCGAAAGCGUGGGGAGCGAACAGG
rnacentral:rRNA from 1 species